rnacentral:rRNA from 1 species
GCAGUCGGACGGCAGCACGGACUUCGGUCUGGUGGCGAGUGGCGAACGGGUGAGUAAUGCAUUGGAACGUACCGAGUAGUGGGGGAUAACUAGUCGAAAGAUUAGCUAAUACCGCAUACGCAUUGAGAUGGAAAGCGGGGGAUCUUAGGACCUCGCGCUAUUUGAGCGGCCAAUGUCUGAUUAGCUAGUUGGUGGGGUAAAGGCCUACCAAGGCGACGAUCAGUAGCGGGUCUGAGAGGAUGAUCCGCCACACUGGGACUGAGACACGGCCCAGACUCCUACGGGAGGCAGCAGUGGGGAAUUUUGGACAAUGGGCGAAAGCCUGAUCCAGCCAUGCCGCGUGUCUGAAGAAGGCCUUCGGGUUGUAAAGGACUUUUGUCAGGGAAGAAAAGGUGAUUGCUAAUAUCAGUCGCUGAUGACGGUACCUGAAGAAUAAGCACCGGCUAACUACGUGCCAGCAGCCGCGGUAAUACGUAGGGUGCGAGCGUUAAUCGGAAUUACUGGGCGUAAAGCGAGCGCAGACGGUUUGUUAAGCAGGAUGUGAAACCCCCGAGCUCAACUUGGGAACGGCGUUCUGAACUGGCAAGCUAGAGUAUGUCAGAGGGGGGUAGAAUUCCACGUGUAGCAGUGAAAUGCGUAGAGAUGUGGAGGAAUACCGAUGGCGAAGGCAG